rnacentral:lncRNA from 1 species
CUGGUGGUGGUGGUGUCCUAUUGAAGAGGUAACCAUUGGGCCGUUCUUGGUGACCGGGCGUCGUCCACCGGCUUGGACCGUCGUGGGAGGAGAAGGACCGGGAGAAAAGUCGGCGGCGGAGCAUGUUGGUCAAAGCCAUCGUGGCGGUGGUGGAGGCCUAGCCUUGAAAGAUCAAGGAUAAAUUUGGGGGACUCGUUUUAGGGAUUUUAUUGGGUUAGUUACUUACUUAGCUUCCUGACAGUGAGAAAUGCUCUCUACACGACAUCGUUUAGAGUUUGGCCUAAGCCAAAAACCAAAUUAGUCUAUUUAUUAUAUGAAAUAUUCAAAAUAUGAUAAAAUCAAAAUUCAACAGAUUUACAUAGCUAUAUUUUUUAAAAAAUUUAUUAUCCUGAAAUAUUUUGAAUUAUAAAUAAAUAAUAUUUUUAUGUCAUUUUUUAAAUAAUAAAUAUUAACUAUAUUCAAUAUCGAUGAAAUUAAUCCAUUUAAUAAUAAAUGGUAUACCCACUCGAAGGUAAAAAAGUAUGUAAAUGUAAAGAAUUUACAUGAUCAAAUGCUUCUUGACAAUAUAAGAAGGAUGUUGAGUACGAUUUGAGCGCUUAUCACUCUCCAAUUUGGAACGUAUUUCUCCUGCAACUAAUGGAGCUAGGUCACGCAUUAUGAAAUUUUACUUUACUAUAUAUUUGAAAAUAUUGUGCUCCAAUAUCUUUACUUCAUGGUUUACCUUCUUUUUCUGUCUUCCAUAACAAAAUCAUUUAUUCUGCUUUAAAUUCAUAAUCUUUAAGAAAGCAUCGCAAACACUGUCAAAACUUCAUGUGCAGAUUGGCACUCAAACAGUAUAUAGAUCAAGUUUAAAGAAUCAAUCUCAUUUAAGUGGCACUCAAAUAGUUAGCCUUCUGUUCAAAGAAAGCUUUAAUAUACAAUAUCAUUUAAGUGGACCUGCCAAGGGAGUACAGCACGGCCUUUGCACCAUGGUGUUAGAGCAUAACCUAACCGAUAGAAUCACUUAAACUGAAAACCAAUAACAUGUUUGGUCCGAUAGAUAUCCUCAAACCAACAAAGGGAUGGGGUAACAAGGAAGAAAGUAGGUGGUAGUGCGGAAUGAGGAGAUGAUCGUUUUCAUUUCAUUGAUUGAACCUAUAUCCAAACAAGAAUACGAGGAUGGAAAAUCCUCUGUAACAUAUUCCCCUACUCCUAAAUUCUCAAUCACAAUUCUAUCAAGUAAAAUAGUCUUUUCCUCCGUACCAUAUGUGUCAAACACAAGUAUGUUCAAAAUUCUCUGAGAUUUCCAUUUAUUUAAAGGAUCAUAUUCUUAUUCCCAUGCCACAUAUAGGAUGGAUACGAGUACUCAAAAAACCGAAGAAUCGAAGCUAUCACAAUCCUAUCGGUCAAUAAUCCUUCAUUAUACUAACUACUAAAUGCUCAACACUAAUGUAUGGCCCUUCACAUAUAACAAUAACAUAAAUCAUUCCUUUUUUUCUCCUUCUUUUCAUUGAUAAAAAACAAGUAGAAUACAACUUACAUAUUGCCUCAAUAAACUAAAUAGUAAUAAUACCUAAAAAGAGAUCCCAUCCCAACAGCCGUAAGGGGUCAACUGAUAACCCGUCUUUUCCCUAAUACUAUCCUUGCGUAACUUCUAACAUUCGGAACCUUUACAGAUAUGCCAUAUUCAUUUACUCCAUAAUACUACCUCUAGUCAAAAGUGGGUUCUUAAUUUACUAAAGAACUGAUAUUUUCUUCAAACCUAUUGAAAGGACCAACACGUUAAGCACUAGAGUAAACUAGCUGGAGUACAGUUUUUCUAAGAUAUUCCAUGUCUGUAAUGAUAGCAUUAGGGCAUAAGCAUAUCAAUAAACCCAAUUUAUUCCCAAAUUCUUCUGAACAUCCAUUGAAACUCGAUAAGUAAAUAUUAGAUUAUGAAUAGAAACAAGCUAAUGACUUCCUCAUCGUCAUCGAAAGCAUAAAUCCAAUUAAAAAGCCCAUAAAAUUUCAACAACGACAAACCCUUUGAACAACACAUUUAUCAACAGAAAAUACAACCUACCAAAAGGACCAGCAAGUUAAGCACAAAACUAACUACAACACAAUUCUUCUAAGAUAUUCCAUAUUUAUAGGGAUAGACGAAUUGCGAAUAACCCAACUUAUUUUCAAAUUCUUCUGAACAUCCAUCGAAACUUGAUAAGUAAAUAUCAGAUUACGAACAGAAACAAGCUAAUGAAUUCAUUAUCGUCAUUGAAAGCAUAAAUCCAAUUAAAAACACAAAAAAUUUCCACAACUACAAGCCCUUUGAACAAUACAUUUAUCAACAGAAAAUAGAACCUACCGAAAGGACCAGCAAGUUAAACACUAAAUUAACUACAGACAAUUCUUCUAAGGUAUUCCAUUUUUGUAAGGACAGCAUUAAGGCACUAGCAUAUCAAUACAUUGCAAAUAAACCCAACUUAUUUUCAAAUUCUUCUGAACAUUAGAUUAUGAUCAGAAACAAGCCAAUGAUUUCUUCAUCAUCGAAUGCGUAAAUCCAACUAAAAAAAGCCAUAAAAAUUUAACUACAGAUCCUUCACCCGUUACAAAAAAAAAAACCCAAUUUUUGUUUAAACAGCACAUUUUAUAAACAGCAAAGAACUGAAAUUUUCUUAGAAACCAUCCAAAAGGACCAGAAAGUUAAGCCCUAAACUAACUACUGUACCAUUUUUCUAUGAAAUUCCAUAUUUAUAAGGAUAAUUUUAGGGCAAUGGCAUAUCAAUACAGGAUCAAUAAACCUAAUUUAUUUUCAAAAUCUUUUGAGCAUCCAUUGAAACUCGAUAAGUAAAUAUUAGAUUACGAUCCCAAAUAAGCCAACGACUUCAUCAUCAUCAUCAUCGAAAACGUAAAAUUAAAAACCCAUAAAAUUUCAACAACUACAAGCGUUAAAAAAAAAAGAACCCCUUCUUUUUAUUCGAACUACACAUUGAAAUCAAAAGCGUUAACAAAGAUCCGUACCCCAGAUCCCGGUCGAAAUUUGCUUCAAAACAUCUCAGUCAGAAGAAGAUGACGACGACUCGGCGGCGAGUUUUUCAAGGGCUUUUUGAUGUGCCCAAGUCUCGAUAGUGAGAUCGGGCUUGGCGUUGAGACCAACACCGAGGAUCACGAUGGUGAGGAAGCUCGUGACGUAGCAAGGCAACUCCCAAUCUUCCCAUUUACGGGAUUGGCCUGGAGGUGGUGGGGUCCUGUUGAAGAGGUAACCAUUGGGUCGUUCCUGGUGACCGGGCGUCGUCCACCGGCUUGGACCGUCGUGGGAGGAGAAAGCCCGGGAGAAGAGUCGGCGGCGGAGCAUGGUGGUCAAGGCCAUCGUG